rnacentral:rRNA from 1 species
GAUGAACGCUAGCUACAGGCUUAACACAUGCAAGUCGCGGGGCAGCAUGGGGGUUGCUUGCAAUCCCCGAUGGCGACCGGCGCACGGGUGAGUAACGCGUAUCCAACCUGCCCUUCACCACGGGAUAACCCGGCGAAAGUCGGACUAAUACCGUAUGUUGUCCAUUGACGGCAUCCGAUUUGGACGAAAGGUUUGGCGGUGAAGGAUGGGGAUGCGUCCGAUUAGCUGGACGGCGGGGUGACGGCCCACCGUGGCGACGAUCGGUAGGGGUUCUGAGAGGAAGGUCCCCCACACUGGAACUGAGACACGGUCCAGACUCCUACGGGAGGCGGCAGUGAGGAAUAUUGGUCAAUGGGCGUAAGCCUGAACCAGCCAAGUAGCGUGCAGGAUGACGGCCCUAUGGGCUGUAAACUGCUUUUAUGCGGGGAUAAAGUGGCCCACGUGUGGGUUUUUGCAGGUACCGCAUGAAUAAGGACCGGCUAAUUCCGUG